AAGUCAUGAUAAGGGCAUUGUCUCAAAUAACCCUUAAAUCUGUCCCAUUCUUCAUAUAUUGUUUCCCUAUCUUCCUAAGCAAAACCUUGGAUUCUAUUCCUCAUAU